rnacentral:rRNA from 1 species
CAGGCCUAACACAUGCAAGUCGAACGCACCGCAAGGUGAGUGGCAGACGGGUGAGUAACACGUGGGAACAUACCCUUCGGUUCGGAACAACGCCGGGAAACUGGCGCUAAUACCGGAUACGCCCUUUUGGGGAAAGGCUUGCCGCCGAAGGAGUGGCCCGCGUUCGAUUAGCUAGAUGGCGGGGUAACGGCCCACCAUGGCGACGAUCGAUAGCUGGUUUGAGAGGAUGGCCAGCCACAUUGGGACUGAGACACGGCCCAAACUCCUACGGGAGGCAGCAGUGGGAAUAUUGGACAAUGGGCGCAAGCCUGAUCCAGCCAUGCCGCGUGAGUGAUGACGGCCUUAGGGUUGUAAAGCUCUUUCGCACGCGACGAUAAUGACGGUAGCGUGAGAAGAAGCCCCGGCUAACUUCGUGCCAGCAGCCGCGGUAAU